AUACGUAGGGGGCGAGCGUUGUCCGGAAUGAUUGGGCGUAAAGGGCGCGUAGGCGGCCCGGUAAGUCUGGAGUGAAAGUCCUGUUUUUAAGAUGGGAAUUGCUUUGGAUACUGUCGGGCUUGAGCGCAGGAGAGGUAAGUGGAAUUCCCAGUGUAGCGGUGAAAUGCGUAGAGAUUGGGAGGAACACCAGUGGCGAAGGCGACUUACUGGACUGUAACUGACGCUGAGGCGCGAAAGUGUGGGGAGCAAACAGGAUUAGAUACCCUGGUAGUCCACACUGUAAACGAUGAAUGCUAGGUGUAGGGGGUAUCGACCCCUUCUGUGCCGCAGUCAACACAAUAAGCAUUCCGCCUGGGGAGUACGGCCGCAAGGCUGAAACUCAAAUGAAUUGACGGGG
rnacentral:rRNA from 1 species